rnacentral:rRNA from 1 species
CUGGCUCAGGGCGAACGCUGGCGGCGUGCCUUAGACAUGCAAGUCGAGCGGUAGGCGUCCUUCGGGGCGCCGAGAGCGGCGAACGGCGGAGUAACACGUGGGUAACCUGCCCCGAAGACUGGGAUAACCCGGGGAAACUCGGGCUAAUACCGGAUGUGGAUGCCUUGGCGUCAGCUAAGGCAUCUAAAAGGGUUUCCGCUUCGGGAUGGACCCGCGGCCUAUCAGGUAGUUGGUGAGGUAACGGCUCACCAAGCCGACGACGGGUAGCCGGUCUGAGAGGAUGAUCGGCCCGAGGGGCACUGAGACACGGGCCCACUCCUACGGGAGGCAGCAGUCGGGAAUUUUGGGCAAUGGGCGCAAGCCUGACCCAGCGACGCCGCGUGGAGGACGAAGCCCUUCGGGGUGUAAACUCCUUUUAGUGGGGACGAACGCAGACGGUACCCACAGAAAAAGCCCCGGCUAACUACGUGCCAGCAGCCGCGGUAAUACGUAGGGGGCGAGCGUUGCCCGAAUUUACUGGGCGUAAAGCGCACGUAGGCGGCGCCGUAAGUCUGGUGUGAAAUCUCACGGCUCAACCGAGAGGCUGCACCAGAUACUGCGGCGCUCGAGGACGGGAGAGGAGAUUGGAAUUCCCGGUGUAGCGGUGAAAUGCAUUGAUAUCGGGAGGAACACCAGUGGCGAAGGCGGAUCUCUGGCCCGUUGCUGACGCUGAGGUGCGAAAGCUGGGGGAGCGAAAGGGAUUAGAUACCCCUGUAGUCCCAGCCCUAAACGAUGGGCGCUAGGUGUUGGGGGAAUUACCCCUCAGCGCCGUCGCUNACGCAUUAAGCGCCCCGCCUGGGGAGUACGGCCGCAAGGUUGAAACUCAAAGGAAUUGANGGGGCCGCACAAGCGGUGGAGCAUGUGGAUUAAUUCGAUACAAACCGAAGAACCUUACCUGGGCUUGACAUCCACGAGCAACGCCCUGGUAAAC